GGGGGUUGAUGUAUCCAAAACAAUAAAAGGCUUGGUUGGGUCUGGUACAUCUAUUUUCUUUUGGAUAGAUAUAUGGAACGGGGUUGAAACUUUAGCAGAAAAAUACCCACUAUUAUUUAGCUUGGAAUCAAACAAAUGGGCCGUAGUUGCGGAUAGGAUUGGGUCCACGGUAUCGGGUCAGAAUUGGAUUUGGGAUUGGAAAAGGCAGUUAAUGAGCCAACAAGAAUUUCAAGAACUGGGCCAACCACAAGCAUCAAUCGCUCAAGUAGCUGUCUCGGCCGAUCCGGACAAGUGGAAAUGAGAGAUGGAUGAGGCGGGUGAGUUUAGUGUCAAAAGUAUUAAACACUAGCUGAGUAGCUAAUGGCUCACACUUAUUCGGCUCCGGAUUAUCAUUUUCAAUAGAACAAUUGGGCGCUGUUGAAAGUGGCCAUCCUAGUUUUGCGAGCAUCAAGGAACCGACUCCCUACCAAAGAUUCGUUAAUCCGAAGAAAUAUUCCAGUUAACUCUGAUGUAUGUUUUCUAUGUGGAGAAUGGCCGGAAACUUGUGAACAACUUUUCGUUUCGUGUGGGUAAACUUUUAAGUAAUGAAUAAAAUUAGUUGGCCGU
rnacentral:lncRNA from 1 species